AAUAGAUACCCCGGUAGUCCACGCCGUAAACGAUGUCGACUUGGAGGUUGUUCCCUUGAGGAGUGGCUUCCGGAGCUAACGCGUUAAGUCGACCGCCUGGGGAGUACGGCCGCAAGGUUAAAACUCAAAUGAAUUGACGGGGGCCCGCACAAGCGGUGGAGCAUGUGGUUUAAUUCGAUGCAACGCGAAGAACCUUACCUACUCUUGACAUCCAGAGAACUUAGCAGAGAUGCUUUGGUGCCUUCGGGAACUCUGGGACAGGUGCUGCAUGGCUGUCGUCAGCUCGUGUUGUGAAAUGUUGGGUUAAGUCCCGCAACGAGCGCAACCCUUAUCCUUUGUUGCCAGCGGUUCGGCCGGGAACUCAAAGGAGACUGCCAGUGAUAAACUGGAGGAAGGUGGGGAUGACGUCAAGUCAUCAUGGCCCUUACGAGUAGGGCUACACACGUGCUACAAUGGCGUAUACAAAGAGAAGCGACCUCGCGAGAGCAAGCGGACCUCAUAAAGUCGUCGUAGUCCGGAUUGGAGUCUGCAACUCGACUCC
rnacentral:rRNA from 1 species